rnacentral:tRNA from 1 species
GGACCUGUAACUCAGCCUGGUUAGAGUGCCAAGGUUGUGAACUGGAAGUCCGGGGUUCAAAUCCCCGCAGGUCCA